UACAGAGGAUGCAAGCGUUAUCCGGAAUGAUUGGGCGUAAAGCGUCUGUAGGCGGCUUUUUAAGUCCGCCGUGAAAUCCCAGGGCUCAACUCUGGACAGGCGGUGGAAACUAGCAAGCUGGAGUACGGUAGGGGCAGAGGGAAUUUCCGGUGGAGCGGUGAAAUGCGUAGAGAUCGGAAAGAACACCAACGGCGAAAGCACUCUGCUGGGCCGACACUGACACUGAGAGACGAAAGCUAGGGGAGCGAAUGGG
rnacentral:rRNA from 1 species